UACAGAGGGUGCAAGCGUUGUUCGGAAUUAUUGGGCGUAAAGCGCGUGUAGGCGGCUUGGCAAGUCAGAUGUGAAAGCCCUCGGCUUAACCGAGGAAGUGCGUCUGAAACUGCUGAGCUUGAGUGUCGGAGAGGAUGGCGGAAUUCCGCAAGUAGAGGUGAAAUUCGUAGAUAUGCGGAGGAACACCGGUGGCGAAGGCGGCCAAUCUGGACGACGUACUGA
rnacentral:rRNA from 1 species